UACGUAGGGUGCAGGCGUUAAUCGGAAUUACUGGGCGUAAAGCGUGCGCAGGCGGCUUGCUAAGACAGGUGUGAAAUCCCCGGGCUUAACCUGGGAACUGCGCUUGUUACUGGCAAGCUGGAGUGUGGCAGAGGGGGGUGGAAUUCCACGUGUAGCAGUGAAAUGCGUAGAGAUGUGGAGGAACACCGAUGGCGAAGGCAGCCCCCUGGGCUAACACUGACGCUGAGACGCGAAAGCGUGGGGAGCAAACAGG
rnacentral:rRNA from 1 species